GAUGAACGCUGGCGGCGUGCCUAAUACAUGCAAGUCGAGCGAACAGACGCGGAGCUUGCUCCUCUGUCGUUAGCGGCGGACGGGUGAGUAACACGUGGAUAACCUACCUAUCAGACUGGGAUCACUUCGGGACACCGGCGCUUAUACCGGAUAAUAUAUUGAAGCGCAUGGUUCAAUAGUGAAAGUCGGUUUUGCUGUCACUUCUAGAUGCAUCCCCGCCGCAUUAGCUAGUUGGUAAGGUAACGGCUUACCAAGGCAACGAUGCGUAGCCGACUUGAGAGGGUGAUCGGCCACACUGGAACUGAGACACGGUCCAGACUCCUACGGGAGGCAGCAGUAGGGAAUCUUCCGCAAUGGGCGAAAGCCUGACGGAGCAACGCCGCGUGAGUGAUGAAGGUCUUCGGAUCGUAAAACUCUGUUAUUAGGGAAGAACAAAUGUGUAAGUAACUAUGCACGUCUUGACGGUACCUAAUCAGAAAGCCACGGCUAACUACGUG
rnacentral:rRNA from 1 species